GUAGGUGGCAAGCGUUGUCCGGAAUUAUUGGGCGUAAAGCGCGCGCAGGCGGUUCUUUAAGUCUGAUGUGAAAGCCCACGGCUCAACCGUGGAGGGUCAUUGGAAACUGGAGAACUUGAGUACAGAAGAGGAAAGCGGAAUUCCACGUGUAGCGGUGAAAUGCGUAGAGAUGUGGAGGAACACCAGUGGCGAAGGCGGCUUUCUGGUCUGUAACUGACGCUGAGGCGCGAGAGCGUGGGGGGAGCAAACAGGAUUAGAUACCCUGGUAGUCCACGCCGUAAACGAUGAGUGCUAAGUGUUAGGGGGUUUUCCGCCCCUUAGUGCUGCAGCUAACGCAUUAAGCACUCCGCCUGGGAGUACGGCCGCAAGGCUG
rnacentral:rRNA from 1 species